rnacentral:rRNA from 1 species
UACGGAGGGUGCAAGCGUUGUCCGGAUUUAUUGGGUUUAAAGGGUGCGUAGGCGGCCCCAUAAGUCUGCGGUGAAACCCACGGGCUCAACCCGUGGCGUGCCGACGAUACUGUGGGGCUUGGGUCGUCUCUGGGCGGGCGGAAUGGAAGGUGUAGCGGUGAAAUGCGUAGAUAUCGGGAGGAACACCUGUGGCGAAAGCGGCGCACUGGACCAUAACUGACGCUGAGACGCGAAAGCCAGGGGAGCGAACGGG